GUGCGCGGCGGGUGUCUCAGCCGCUUCCUGUCAGCGCCAGGAGUGGGGAUUCCCGGGGUCCCCGGCAGGUACCUGGACAGCUCAGGUUCUCGCAAGGCCGUUUCUCAGGGACGCCGGCCUCGCCACUGACGUAGCACCAGGGCCCGCGCGGGUCCUCGUCCGGGUUUCGGCAGUAACUGUGAUUGCCGGCCCCUGAGAGGAGAGAAGGAAAUGUGUGCCGGGUCUGGGACCUGGACCGCGGCCGCCGCCCGCCAGCCCCGGCGCCGUCCCCCGGAGGACACCUACCUGACACGGGGGCCGAGGCCAGCCCGCUCUGCGCGUCCAGCCAGUUGAGGCAGCGGAGGCCAGGCGCGGGGGAGGUCUGGUCCUCCCGGUACAGGUGGCCGUUGUCCCAGAAACAGCCUGUGAGGAAGAGAAGCCCCCGGACACAGAGUAGCCGGCAGCGAACGGAAGACGCCCAGCGUGGCGGGCAGGGGAGCCGGGACCACCCGGAUCGAGCCUCAGCUUGGUUAGGGGACCCCGGGCCCUACUGGGCCUCCCUCUCCUCUCGUGGCAACACCCUCAUGCCCCACGCCCCCCCCCGCCCAACUCCACACACACCUCAGGGUGUGAAGCCCCUAGCCUGUGCCUGGCCCCCAGUCAACGCUCAGAGACUGUUAGGUUUUAUUUAUUUUUGAAAUCUGGAAAGCGCUGCAGAAGUGCAAAGGAUUGUUACUCUUGAACUUGUGACCACUUUGGAGGAGGAGAUGGAGAGGAGGAGGCCUGGCUUAGGGUCCCUUUGAGGAGAUGGGAGUUUUGGGACGGUGGGCGCCCAGACGUGACAUUUAUCCCCGUGUUGUAAUGGCCACGUUACAUAAACUCCGGUGUUUUCUCCUCCACGGAUACGGCCACCUUCUGCCCGUUUAACAGGCAAUACUCCCUCCCAGGAGAAUUCUCCAGGAGCCUUGACUCCGUCAGGCAAAAGAUUCAAGACAACCUCAAACGGAGGAAACUGCCUCAUCGCUGACUGGAUGAGACUCCAAGCUCCUACUCCCCUCUGCAGGAGAACCACAGAAGGAGGCUGGGGAAGGAGGACCACACCAUGCAAAGGGCUUAGAAAGAACAGGACUUGGGGAGUAGGGGAGAUGAACCCCCAAGCUCCAUCCACUCAUGAGCAAGGAAAGGCAAAGAGAAAGUGGCUUCUUGCCUUUGUUCUUAAUGGCAAAGAUGGAGCUGCAAGCCCCUGACUAGGAAAGGAGGGGUGGAAAAGCUUUCACAGGACAACAGAAACCGGCUAAACGCUCCGUUUCCUGUCAUCCUGGCCCUGUUCGGGAAAUAGGGGGCUUUACCCCUUCUGUGUCAUGAAGUUGCUCCGGAAAGGAAAGAUUGUAGUCUCACCUCCAGAUCCAUAGGCUUCUGCUAGGAGCAUGUUGCUAACGAGGAAUGCUUGUACCCAGGCCAACAGCAUCCUUGCCUCCUUCGUCUUGCAGGUGAUUGAACGACCAGUGUUUAACCGAGGCCCCCUUGGCGGCGGCGGCUCUGCCUCCCAGUCCCAGGCUUGCAGUCAGACCUGCCCUUGUUAUGCUGUUCUGGUAAACAGCCUCUCUUUAGAACUGGGAGCUUCCCAGCUAGCUUGCUGCAGCGCGAGCUGUUUUUCAGCUGAAAGGCGCCCCCUGGGUCCUAAGCCUCCUAGGUCAUGCAAAAUCUAACUCUGAGCCAAGAAAGGAACUCAGCCAAGAGAUAUGCAGGUUGUGCUUAACAGCCGAUCAGUUUGAGACCUGCGAGGCCGCAUCCCCAGGGUUUUUCAUCUCUUCUGUUUCCAUUUGUGUUUCACUCUGUUGCCCAGGCUGGAGUGCAGUGGCACAAUCUUGGCUCACUGCGGCACAAUCUCGGCUCACUGCAAUCUCCACCUCCCAAGCUGAAGUGAUUCUCCUGUCUCAGCCUCCCAAGUAGCUGGGACUACAGUCUCACUCCUCUGUCACCCAGGCUGGAGUGCAGUGGCACACUCACGCCUCACUGCCGCCUCAACCUCUUGUGCUCAAGCGAUCCUCCCAAGUAGCUUGGACUACAGAAAGUGGACUGUGGCCAAAUGAAUCUCUCCAGACUCCAGCCAGCUGAGGGCGUCAGGAAGAGGGUUAAUGAUGUCAAGACACUAAGGGCAGAUGCCCUCCUCUUCUCUCCAAUCCCAAGCCCCAACCACCAGCAUAAUUCCGCUUAAAGUUGAACGUGGAAAAUGGGCAUUUGUUUUACUUCAGGACAAAGGGGUAAGCACGUGACUCUCCCCAAUACACAAGGAAGGGAAAUGAAUCCAGAAGAACCCCAGGGCAUGAAUAUUACCAUUAGACUUAGGUAAGUAUAGCUGUGAAAUGGUCAUGAUAAAGAAAUGUUUGGGGUAGGCACAGUGGCUCAUGCCUGUAAUCCCAGCAUUAUGGGAGGCCAAGGCAGGAGGAUUGCUUGAGCCCAGGAGUUCAAGACCAGCCUAGGCAACAUAAUGAGACCUCAUCUCUACAAAAGUUUUCUUUUUAAUUAGUCAAGUAUGGUGGCACAUGCCUGUAGUCCCAGCUACUUGGGAGGCUGAGGUGGGAAGAUCACUUGAGCCCAGGAGGUGGAGAUGGCAGUGAGCCAUGAUCACACCACUACACUCCAGCCUGGGCAACAGGACAAGACCCUGUCGCCAAAAAAAAAAAAAAAGUCUAAUGCCCACUCAUGAUAAAACUCUCAGUAAACUUCGUCAGCUUGAUAAAGAAUACCUACAAAACCUACAGCUAACGUACUUAAUAGUGAGAAACCAGAAGCUUUCUUACUAAGAUCAGGAACAAGGCAACAGUGUGCCCUCUCAUCACCUCUUUUCAACAUCGUACUGGAAGUCCUAGCUAACGUAAUAAGACAAAAAAAGGAAAUAGAAGGUAUACAGACUGGGGAGGAAGAAAUCAAGCUGUUUUUGUUCACAGACGACAUGACCAUCUCUGUAGAAAAUCUGAAAGAUGAAUGAUGAAGCCUUGGGAGAUGUUAAAAAAGAAAAAGGAAAGGAGGACAGGACAGGAAAGGAAAAAGGAAAGGGAAGUGGUGAGGGGAAGGGGAAGGAAGGGAAAGGAAAGAUCUGAAAGAAUUGACAGAAAAACUCCUGGAACUAAUAAGUGAUUACAUCAACGUUGCAGGUUAUAAGGUCAAUAUACAAAACUCAAUUGUUUUCCUAUAUACCAGCAAUGAAUUAGUGGAAUUUGAAAUAAAAAACACAUUUAUAUUACCACCCCCCAAAAUUUGUAUAAACCUAACAAAAUAUGUACAAGAUCUGUAUGAAAAAAACUACAAAACUCUGAUGAACAAAAUAAAAAAAGAACUAAAUGGAGAUAUAUUCCAUGGUACAUGGAUAGGAAGACUCAUUAUUGUCAAAAUGUCCGUUCUUCCCAACUUGAUCUAUAGAUCAAAGCAAUCCCAAUCAAAAUCCCAGAAGUUAUUUUGUGGAUAUCAACAAAUUGAUUCUAAAGUUUAUACAGAGAGGCAAAAGUCCCAGAAUAGCUAACAUAAUAUUGAAGGAGAAGAAUAAAGUUAGAAGACUGACACUACCUGACUUUGAGACUUAUAAACCUACAGGAAUGAAGGCAGUGUGAUAUUUGUGAAAGGAUAGACAAACAGAUCAAUUGAACAGAAUGGAGAGGCCAGAAAUAGACCCACAUAAAUAUAGUGGAAGGAAUAAAUAUAGUGGAAGGAAGCAAAGGCAAUACAAUGGAACAAAGAUAAUUUUUUCAACAAAUGGUGCUGGAACAACUGGACAUCCACGUGCAAAAAAUUAAUCUAGACACACACCUUAUACUCUUCACAAAAAUUAACUCAAAAUGGAUCAUAGACCUAAAUGUAAAACACAAGCUAAAUAUAAACUCUGAGAGGAUAACAGAAGAAAACCUUGGAUAUGGUUAUUACUUUUUCGGUACAACACUCAAAGGCAUGAACCAUGAAAUAAAUAACUGACAAUCUAGACUUCAUUAAAAUUAAAAAUUUCUCUUCUGUGAAAGACCAUGUCACAAGAAUGAGAAGAUGAUGGCUGGGCACAGUGGCUCAUGCCUGUAAUCCCAGCACUUUGGGAGGCCGAGGUGGGCGGAUCAUGAGGUCAGGAGAUCGAGACCAUCCUGGCUAACACGGUGAAACCCCGUCUCUACUAAAAAAAAAAUACAAAAAUUAGCCGGCCGUGGUGGCGGGCGCCUGUAGUCCCAGCUACUUGGGAGGCUGAGGCAGGAGAAUGGCAUGAACCCAGGAGGCGGAGCUUGCAGUGAGCCAAGAUCACGCCACUGCACUCCAGCCUAGGUGACAGAGCAAGACUCCGUCUCAAAAAAAAAAAAAAAAGAAUGAGAAGAUGAGCAUGAGCAUAGACUGGAGAAAAUAUUUGCAAAAGACACAUCUGAUAAAGGACUGUUAUCCAAAAUAUGCAUAAGAACUCUUAAAACUCAACAAUAGGCCGGGCAUAGUGGCUCACGCCUGUAAUCCCAGCACUUUGGCAGGCCAAGGUGGGCGGAUCACGAGGUCAAGACAUAGAGACCAUCCUGGCCAACAUGGUGAAACCCCAUCUCUACUAAAAAUACAAAAAUUAGCUGGGCAUGGUGGUGCAUGCCUGUAGUCCCAGCUACUUGGGAGGCUGAGGCGGGAGAAUCACUUGAACCCAGGAGGCAGAGGUUGCAGUGAGCCGAGAUCACGCCACCGCACUCCAGCCUGGCAACAGAGUGAGACUCCAUCUCUAAAUAAAUAAAUAAAUAAUAAAAUAAAACAAUGCAUUUUAAAAAUGGACCAAAGACCUUAACAGACACCUCACCAAAGAAGAUAUACAGAUGGCAUAUAAGCGUAUGAAAAGAUGCUGCACAUCAUAUGUUAUCAGAGAAAUGCAAAUUUAAACAACGAUUAGAUACUACUACACAUCUAUCAGAAUGGCCAAAAUCAAGACAACAGAUGAUGACAAGGAUGUAGAGCAACAGGAACUUUCAUUCAUUGCUGGUAGGAAUGCAAAAUUGAUGGUACAGACACUUUGGAGAACAGUUUGGCGUUUUCUUACAAAACUAAACAUACUCUUACCAUGUGAUUCAGUAAUCACAGUCCUUGGUAUUUUCACAAACAAAUUGAAAACUUAAGUCCACACAACAGCCUCCACACACAGGUUUACAGCAGCUUUAUUCAUAAUUGCCAAAACUUGGAAACAAUCAAGAUGUCCUUCAGUAGGUAAAUAAAUGAAUAUACUAUGGUACAUCCAAACAAUGAAAUAUUACUGACUGCCAAAAGGAAAUGAGCUAUCAGGCUGCAUGU